ACUGAAAGCAUUGGCAAGAGACAGUGGACCAGGGUCAGAAGAAGACUUUGCGGGGGGACUCGGGGCGCCAGAAGCGCUACUGUAUCCUGAACAAGAUCCAAACUCUCCAGCUCCAGACGAGUGUUACCAGGUGCUCAUGCAACUCAUGGACAUGAAUCUCUCUGUUUUGGCUGGGGAAGAUACUUCUGCUCUUGAUGAAUCCAUCAGGACAACACUGAACGACCUCUCUGGAGACCAAAGUCAGCCAAUGUUGCUACUGGGAACACUGGGCGCUGCUGAUGAAGAAGCAGAUAAACUGAAUAUGAAGAGUUACAGCUUGAAUGUAUGCAACAGUUUGAGUGGUUGGAUCCGUUUCUGGCCAUUUGAUGCUUGGACGAGCAUUAUUAAAUGCAUGAAUCAGUGGACCUGGGGCAGGAAUCAUAACUUCCUCCACAACGUGACAGGUAAGAACAGACCCGCUAACUGGAAAUUCAUUGUGAAUAAUAUAAUAAUGCUGUGAUCCCUCAGGCGAAGCAGUACCCUCCACUCUUCUGGAAACUGAGACGAGAGACUAUGAAGAUGCUGGACUGUUGCUGAACUCACCCUACUUCUCAGUGCUGAGAAAAGAGAGAGACAUCGACCUCAUAAUUUCACUGGAUUUCAGUGAGGGUGAUCCUUUCUUGACGGUGAAGGAAGCUGCCAAGACGUGCAAGGAACUAAAUAUCCCUUUCCCUGAGGUCAACAUUCCCAGUGGACACUCAGAGAUACCGAUGGACUUCUAUGUGUUCACAGGCCAAAACACUCCAACCGUGAUCCACA